GACGAACGCUGGCGGCGUGCUUAACACAUGCAAGUCGAACGGAAAGGCCCUGCUUUUGCGGGGUGCUCGAGUGGCGAACGGGUGAGUAACACGUGAGUAACCUGCCCUUGACUUUGGGAUAACUUCAGGCAACUGGGGCUAAUACCGGAUAGGAGCUCCUGCUGCAUGGUGGGGGUUGGAAAGUUUCGGCGGAUGGGGAUGGACUCGCGGCUUACCAGCUUGUUGGUGGGGUAGUGGCUUACCAAGGCUUUGACGGGUAGCCGGCCUGAGAGGGUGACCGGCCACAUUGGGACUGCGAUACGGCCCAGACUCCUACGGGAGGCAGCAGUGGGGAAUAUUGCACAAUGGGCGGAAGCCUGAUGCAGCAACGCCGCGUGCGGGAUGACGGCCUUCGGGUUGUAAACCGCUUUCGCCUGUGACGAAGCGGGAGUGACGGUAAUGGGUAAAGAAGCACCGGCUAACUACGUG
rnacentral:rRNA from 1 species